GACAGUUUUGUCAGUGUUCAGGAAGAGUUUGUUUUUUGCGAUCCACUUUUCUACCUCUGUAAACUGGUCUUGGAGCAAAGCCUCAAGUUGCGGUAGAUUGGGUUUGCUCGCAUAGAUUACUGUGUCAUCUGCGUACAUGUGUACAUUUGAGGAUUGGCAGACAUAAGGCAGAUCAUUUAUAAAUAAUGUAAAUAGUAGGGGGCCGAGAAUGGAACCCUGGGGAACACCACACGUGACCGGGAGAGGGAGGGAGUCACUGUCAGAAAUGGACACAUAUUGCGAGCGAUCCGAU